UGGGGGAUAUUGCACAAUGGGCGAAAGCCUGAUGCAGCGACGCCGCGUGGGGGAUGAAGGCCUUCGGGUUGUAAACUUCUUUUGCUCUGAACAAGGCAUUCCUUUGGGGUGUGUUGAGUGUAGGGGUUGAUUAGCGCCGGCUAACUACGUGCCAGCAGCCGCGGUAAUACGUAGGGCGCGAGCGUUGUCCGGAAUUAUUGGGCGUAAAGGGCUUGUAGGUGGCUGGUUGCGUCUGUCGUGAAAGCUCAUGGCUUAACUGUGGGUUUGCGGUGGGUACGGGCUGGCUUGAGUGCAGUAGGGGAGGCUGGAAUUCCUGGUGUAGCGGUGGAAUGCGCAGAUAUCAGGAGGAAUACCGGUGGCGAAGGCGGGUCUCUGGGCUGUUACUGACGCUGAGGAGCGAAAGCGUGGGGAGCGAACAGG
rnacentral:rRNA from 1 species